ACGGGAGGCAGCAGUGGGGAAUAUUGGGCAAUGGGCGCAAGCCUGACCCAGCAACGCCGCGUGAGGGAAGAAGGUUUUCGGAUUGUAAACCUCUGUCCUAAGAGACGAAGGAAGUGACGGUAUCUUAGGAGGAAGCCCCGGCUAACUACGUGCCAGCAGCCGCGGUAAUACGUAGGGGGCGAGCGUUGUCCGGAAUGACUGGGCGUAAAGGGCGUGUAGGCGGCUUUUUAAGUAUGGAGUGAAAGUCCUGCUUUCAAGGUGGGAAUUGCUUUGUAGACUGGAGAGCUAGAGUGCGGAAGAGGUAAGUGGAAUUCCCGGUGUAGCGGUAAAAUGCGUAGAUAUCGGGAAGAACACCGGUGGCGAAGGCGACUUACUGGGCCGUAACUGACGCUGAGGCGCGAAAGCGUGGGUAGCGAACAGGAUUAGAUACCCUGGUA
rnacentral:rRNA from 1 species